rnacentral:tRNA from 1 species
GUUGUGGCUCAGUGGUAGAGCACAUGCCUGGCAUGUGUGAGGCCCUGGGUUUGAUCCUCAGCACAGCA